CAACAUUUACCUUAAUAUAUAUAUUGUACAAACCAUUCCACAAACAAUACCAUGCAACACUUGAUCUCAUUCAUGGCAUUCUUGGACUAUUAUUGAAGUUAGCCAACAACAUUGUUCGCAACAAAUUUUAAAAGCGUCGAAAAUUAACUACAACCAAAGAUAAAUAAAAGAAAAAAAGUAAUUUUUAUUAAUGAAUCUUGUGAGUACAAUUAUGUAACUCUCUCGAUUCUUCUCUCUUAAACUUAGAAAUGAUCCGAGGGCCUUCAAUAGCGUGUUUCUCAAAUUGUUGAAUGGUUUGGAUUCCUAGAGAUGUAUUUCAAUCACCGAAAAUGCCAAAAAGUAUUUUUGUUGCUUUGGAAUAAUCUCUGGGAAGAUCUCCGUUGAUUUCUCCUUGCAAGAAAUUGAUAGUCUAUGCCGAUGUUGCCAAUGCUUCCAAUGCUUGUCAAAGUCAUCUUUUUUUUUCGUCCUUAGAAUGUAAUGUUACUCCCUAUUUAUAGUUGUAGGGAGUAGGCCGGGUUGCUUGUGAUUGGCCGAAAUAUGUCAUUUUGACACUUGACGACUUUUGACAGGUUCUUGAAUUUGAAUUAGAUUUCCACAUCAUUUAUACAUGUGGCAUCAUUUCGUUGGUCUUCGAUUUGAUGGGGACGCCAAAUCACGUUGACACUUGGCAAGAGUCUGGGCUCCAAAGUACAAUGGACCUUCAUCUUGAAUUUGGUAAAAUUGACCAACUAAUUUGUAAUUCCCAAAUUGGAUAAUUAACUCAAAUGAUCGUGACUAAAAUUCAAAUUUUGUUUGAAUUUAAUCCGUUGAAUCUUAUAUGUCUACAAAUACUCCUUGCGUCGAGACUUGUCAACUUGUAGGCUUGCCGAAACUUGGCGGCGAGACUUGAAGUUCUCAUGAAUGUGUUUUUAUUUUCGUGAUUUCAAAGGUAUUUGUUUCUCAUCGGUGAAUCCUAGUUAGACCAAUACUUACGAGUAGUUUAACUAAAGUUUCCUCCGUGAACUUUCAUGUUGUGAAAGGUUUUGUCAAAGCAACCAAUGAUUUGCUUGUGGCGAUCCUCAUUUUUCGCCCUCAAAUGACUACAAACUCG
rnacentral:lncRNA from 1 species